GGACCAAGGAGUCUAGCAUGUGCGCAAGUCAUUGGGAUUUUAUAAUAAACCUAAAGGCGUAAUGAAAGUAAAUAUAUGUAAAAUUUAUUUUAUAUAUAAAGGGAAGAUGGGUGACGUUAUUUAUGUUACCUCGCAUUCCCGGGGCGUCGCGUAUUCAUUGCGAAUUGCGGCGCACCAAGAGCGUACACGCUGGGACCC
rnacentral:rRNA from 1 species